AAACAACUACUGUACUCGAGAAGCAACGAAUAGAUAUUUCAUAAAUAAACAAUCUAGAGUUUUUGGCAUUGUAAGUGAAAAAAAAUUUUAAUGUUGAAUACACGAGAAGUUGCUGAAGGAAUUUUAAUACAAAAAAUAUUAGUGCUUCUUCAAACAAUAUCUGCUGAGACCGAUAUUACUUGUUGUUUUUAAUGGAUGCUAAUAAUUGAGCCUCAUUUGAAUACCCAGCACAGUUCUUCCAAAUAAUUUAACCACAAACCAUCAAUACACUCCAUAACUUAUUCCACGUAUUUUGUCUUAACCUCAAACAAUAAAUUUAUCCCACCAUUUAUCUUCUUCGCACGCCUCACUUUUUGUACUCAUCUUAAUUUUUUUAUCCGGAGAACAAUUAAAUCACUUAAAUUAAAUAAAUUGAAAGAUUGUAUAGUAAAAUCAAAAUUUUGAAAGACCAGAUAAUCGAAUCAAAUGGUCCACAGUUCAGAUAAGUUUUAUAUGUUUUUGAUUUUUUUUUAAAAAAUAAAAAACUCCUCUCCACAUUACUGCCCACU
rnacentral:lncRNA from 1 species